rnacentral:tRNA from 1 species
UCUUUUGUAGCUUAGUGGUAAAGCAUUUAGCUGUUAACUAAAAAAUCACAGGUUCAAAUCCUGUCAAAAGAG